UCAGGGGUUUGGGACCCAGAAGCCAAGCUGGGCUGCCAUAGCUUGCCUUGGGUUAGUAUUAAAAGAAGAUAUCCGAGGCCACAAAACAUGUCGUUUUCUUCCACCAACUUCCUCAUCACCAAUUGGAGAGCCCGUGAUUCAGAAAGAUGUAGUGGUCGUGCUGAUUAUAUUGCUAAACAAUGGAUAUGGUAGUGGAUUAUAUUAGGUUGUGACGAGAUCUCCAUCCAAAAUUUGGCCCGG
rnacentral:lncRNA from 1 species